GGGCAUCCCGGAGGCAGGAAAGGCUUCGGCCGGACAGGGAUGGGCAUGCGGCGCAUUAGGCAGUAGGCGGGGUAACGGCCCACCUAACCGACGAUGCGUAGGGGUUCUGAGAGGAAGGUCCCCCACACUGGUACUGAGACACGGACCAGACUCCUACGGGAGGCAGCAGUGAGGAAUAUUGGUCAAUGGUCGGGAGACUGAACCAGCCAAGCCGCGUGAGGGAGGAAGGUACAGAGUAUCGUAAACCUCUUUUGUCAGGGAACAAAGACUGGGACGCGUCCCCGGAUGAGUGUACCUGAAGAAAAAGCAUCGGCUAACUCCGUGCCAGCAGCCGCGGUAAUACGGAGGAUGCGAGCGUUAUCCGGAUUUAUUGGGUUUAAAGGGUGCGCAGGCGGUCUGUUAAGUCAGCGGUCAAAGCCCGGGGCUCAACCCCGGCCCGCCGUUGAAACUGGCAGUCUCGAGUUGGAGAGAAGUAUGCGGGAUGCGCGGUGUAGCGGUGAAAUGCAUAGAUAUCGCGCAGAACUCCGAUUGCGAAGGCAGCAUGCCGGCUCCACACUGACGCUGAGGCACGAAAGCGUGGGUAUCGAACAGGAUUAGAUACCCUGGUAGUCCACGCAGUAAACGAUGAAUGCUGGCUGUCCGGGGGGACUGACCCCUGGGUGGCGAAG
rnacentral:rRNA from 1 species